CCUAGAAUGAAAGUCCAGAGACUGGAAAAGGCACGUUUUUCCCGUCCCCGCAUCUUGUGGGAGCCUCCUCAGCUGUCUAAAGUCCACUUUAUCUGCCGGGCAGGGCCGGUGGUGCUGCGGAAGGGCUGGGUCCGGGUCCGGAGGGAGAGGGCGGGGUCGGGGGUCUGGGCUCGGAGGGCCAGGUCCAGGACCAGAGGGCGGGAUCCGGGGUCAGGGGUCAAGGUCCGGAGCCGGAGAGCCGGGGCUGGGUCGGGGUCCAGGUCCGAGGGCAGGGAUCGGAGGGCGGGGUCCGGGUCGGGGGUCGGAAGAUGGGAUCCAGGUCCAGAGGGAGGGGUCGGGGGUCGGAGGGCGGGAUCCGAGUCCGGAGGCUGGGGCCCUGGGUCCAAGAGGGAGUCAGAGUCCGGAGGAUCGAGGUCAAGAGGUGGGGGUCGGGGUCCAGGACCGGAGGGCGGGUCUGGGGUCGAGGGUCGGAGGGCGGGGUCCGGGGUGGCGGGUCUGGGACCGGCCUGGCUCGGCGGGAGCAGUACGGGCCGCCCCGUGGCCCCAGCGCCCCGCCUCCCACAGGCGGCAGCCAUGGCGGCCUGGCGGGUCCCGGCGUCCGCGGGCUCUGCGCACGGAAGGCAGCCGUCCGCCGCCCCGCCGCCAGAACCGCCCCGAGUUGGAGAAAGGUUCCGACGGCUCCUCACCUUCACCCUCUUCUCCGCUUCGCAGGGAGACCGCGGCAGCUCUGGGCCCGACUCGCAGAGCAGGCCGGAGGGAGCAGCGAGUCGUCCGGCGAGCAAAGAGUUAACAGCGGCGGAGCGGAGGAUCUCGGAGUUUCACGCCGCCGCCUGCGCAGUGAAGCCCCGCCCCGUUCCGUCCCUCACGGGCUCCCGGUUGCUCCGCCCCUCCCCUCCCCGCCCGGACCGCAGCCCCAGGGACCAUGCGCUUGCGCAGUGAGGCCCCUCCUCCCCAGACACCUCGCCCCGCCCCCCGCGGGAGCCCCGCCCCAGAAGCCCCGCCUCCCGAAGCCCCGCCCUCCCCGGCCGUCCGGUGAUAGGUGCGCCUGCGCGUCCCGGGGCUGGAGAGGGAUUGCCGGAGGUCGGCGCAGUCCUACCUCGGGCGUCUGACGGCGUGCAAGCUUACCGCUCAGAACUUUUCGCUUGAAAACUGGCCACAGUUUCCUAUUCCGGGCAAAGAGUUAACGUGGAUCAAUCGCUGGCCGGCUGAAGUACGUGGACCUAGCUGCCGGCUACAUGGUGCUCACCCGGCUGGCCCACUUGCAGACAGGCAGAUGCUGCGUCUCUACCUGCAGACAUUGUCCAUAUGGUCAAGUCAAUGUUAAAGAUCCAUCCAAAAAGAAGCAAUUCAAUUCACAUUUUUAUGUUUGAGACGAAUUUCAUUUCUGUUCUCCAUCUAAUUGAGCCUUACUAAAAAAAUAAAUAAAACCUUAAUCCAGAAUUGCUUUCUGUGCUGUUAGUACUUGAGCACUAGUUUAAUCUUAAACUUAAGCAUAUAUUAAUCUUAAUCUUAAACAUGUAUUAAAAGAACAUCAAUAAAAUGAAAA